rnacentral:lncRNA from 1 species
CCCAAGUGUAGCUGGGACUACAGGCACACGCCACCAUGCCCAGCUAAUUUUUGUUUUUUUUAAUGUAGAGAUAAGAGUCUCACUAUGUUGCCCAGGUUGAUCUCAAACUCCUGGUCUCAAGAGAUCCUCCCACCUCAGCCUCCCAGAGUCAGAACCCAGAUCCUGGAACUCUUCUUUUCUUCUUCUAUACCACUGCUUCCUUGCAGAUACCAGGUUUCGCCAUGUUGACCAGGCUGGUCUCAAACUCCCAACCUCAAGUGAUCCACCUGCCUUGGCCUCCCAGAGUGCUGGGAUUACAGGUGUGAGCCACCAUGCCCGGCCUAAAAGAUAAGAGAUCAAGAUAUAUACAAAUUAGUCUUUGAAAGAUCUUUCACCUUGUUCAAAGUUAAGAUCCUGUGAACACCAGAAUUGUUCCAUGGCCUCUUCACUAUUGAUUGCAACAGUAUCAUUUACCUGAAGUUACACAGUGACCACAAAAACCAUGUCCAGGACACCAAAUUUCUACUGCGAACUCUAGGUCCUCACGAGCCUUUCUCUGCGAGUCCAAAAUUCAGCCACAUUUCCUAAGAGGCACCUGUACUUGUCUAUUUCAAUGCAGCCAGAAGCUGACAACGGCCCAGGAACCAGGACUGCUUUCAGGAGGCGCUCAGAAGGGCAGCAAAGUACCCUCUCAACAUUAGUAAAAUGAAACAAAAGUGUC